rnacentral:tRNA from 1 species
CACUGAGAAGCUUUUACACCUAAGCAUCGGCCUUUUAAGCCGAAGAAGAAACCACUUUCCUCAGUGA